rnacentral:lncRNA from 1 species
CUCUGGGUUCCUGCAUGGUGUCCUUGGGGUCCUUGUGGCACCCGUGUCCCCUCAAUGUCAUCCUUUGGGUGCCUGUGGCACCCAUCUUCUUCUCUGUGCCAUCCUCGGGGUGUCCGUGGUCCUUGUGUCCCCUCUGUGCCAUCCUUGGGGUGCUCGUGGUCUCCAGCUCCCCUCCGUGCUGUCCUUGGGGUCCUUGUGGCACCCGUGUUCCCUCCAUGUCAUCCUUGUGACACCCAUGUCCCCUCCGUGUCAUCCUUGGGGUGCUCGUGGUCUCCAGGUCCCCUCCAUGGUGUCCUUGGGGUCCUUGUGGCACCCGUGUUCCCUCCAUGUCAUCCUUGUGGCACCCUUGUCCCCUCCAUGUCAUCCUUGGGGUGCUCGUGGUCUCCAGGUUCCCUCCAUGAUGUCCUUGGGGUCCUUGUGGCACCCGUGUUCCCUCCAUGUCAUCCUUGGGGUGCUCAUCGUCUCCAGGUCCCCUCCGUGAUGUCCUCGGGGUCCUUGUGGCACCCAUGUCCCCUCUGUGUCAUCCUUGGGGUGCUCGUGGUCUCCAGGUCCCCUCCAUGGUGUCCUUGGCGUCCUUGUGGCACC